rnacentral:rRNA from 1 species
AUUGAACGCUGGCGGCAGGCCUAACACAUGCAAGUCGAGCGGAACGGCGGACGGGUGAGUAAUGCCUAGGAAUCUGCCUGGUAGGGGGGGAUAACGUCCGGCAACGGGCGAUAAUACCGCUAACUCUCAGAAGAGCCUAGGUCGGUUUAGCUAGGGGGUGGGGUAAAGGCCUACCAAGGCGACGAUCCGUAACUGGUCGGAGAGGAUGAGCAGUUACACUGGAACUGAGACACGGUCCAGACGCGUACGUGAGGCAGCAGUGGGGAAUAUUGGACAAUGGGCGAAAGCCUGAUCCAGCCAUGCCGCGUGUGUGAAGAAGGCCUUCGGGUUGUAAAGCACUUUAAGUUGGGAGGCGUGACUAACAGAAUAAGCACCGGCUAACUUCGUGCCAGCAGCCGCUGUAAUAC